AAGAUGUGGAUACUCUGGAAGGUAACUCUCCCCUGGCUCUGUCCAGGUGGCACAGGAAAGCAUAGAGCUUUGCCCUGUGAUAUACAAUUCCUUUCCACAAGGCUGGGGAAGAGCUGGAUCUUAUGUCUGCGCCAGCAUAUUCCUACAGCUUCUCAGAGUCCUUUGGGCAAUGACUGAGGGGAUAAAUCAUGCAGGAAACAAUG
ensembl:snoRNA SNORA73 Small nucleolar RNA SNORA73 family